CUACGGGUCGCACCAGUCAUGAAUCUUCCCCAAUGCACGAAAGUGUGAGGGAGCGACGCCGCGUGAGUGAAGACGCAUUUCGGUGUGUAAAACUCUUUUCUCUGGGAGAAACUAGCGAUGGUACCAGAGGAAUAAGGGGCUGCUAACUUCGUGCCAGCAGCAGCGGUAAUACGAGGGCCCCGAGCGUUAUCCGGAUUUAUUGGGCGUAAAGCGCUAAAAGGUGGUUUGGUAAGUCUUUAGUAAAAGCUGAAAGCUCAACUUUCAGACUGCUAAAGAAACUACUAAACUAGAGGAUGGAAGAGGUAAGCGGAAUUGCCGGUGUAGCAGUGAAAUGCGUUAAUAUCGGCAGGAACACCAAAAGCGAAGGCAGCUUACUGGGACAUUCCUGACACUAAAUAGCGAAAGCGUGGGGAGCGAAAGGGAUUAGAUACCCUCGUAGUC
rnacentral:rRNA from 1 species